rnacentral:rRNA from 1 species
GACGAACGCUGGCGGCGUGCUUAACACAUGCAAGUCGAACGGAAAGGCCCUGCUUGCAGGGUGCUCGAGUGGCGAACGGGUGAGUAACACGUGGGUGAUCUGCCCCUUACUUUGGGAUAAGCCUGGGAAACUGGGUCUAAUACUGGAUAGGACCAUGCUGUAGGUGGUGUGGUGGAAAGAUUAGUUUCGGUAAGGGAUGAGCUCGCGGCCUAUCAGCUUGUUGGUGGGGUAAUGGCCUACCAAGGCGUCGACGGGUAGCCGGCCUGAGAGGGUGGACGGCCACAUUGGGACUGAGAUACGGCCCAGACUCCUACGGGAGGCAGCAGUGGGGAAUAUUGCACAAUGGGCGCAAGCCUGAUGCGGCGACGCCGCGGGGGGGAUGACGGCCUUCGGGUUGUAAACUCCUUUCAGCCAUGACGAAGCCCUUGUGGUGACGGUAGUGGUAGAAGAAGCACCGGCUAACUACGUG